UGAAUUGAUUCGUUGGUUCGAAUAAAUUCCAAUCUGGGAAAUGAAAUGUAUUUUUCGCCUGUACAGCAAUACAACGCCAUACAACAGCUAUUGAAAUAUUCCUGACAAAAGGAUUGGAUAAAAUCUAGAUGCAACGUAUGUUGCGGUAUAUUGGAAGCAAGAUAUUUCACUACAUCCUUGUAAAAUUUCGUAUUGUUAGCAGAACCUUUUGCAAGCAGCCGACGCGAAGACGCUAACUAAGCGCACAUGAUUUUUCUUCAGUGUGCGUGGUUGCUAAUUUUCUCGCGCGUCGGCAUCGUUGGUUGACCACGUGUAUCGCUCAAUCACUUCAUCAGUCGACUGUCAAAUGUCGAAGUGUGCAUGUCUUCGCAGAGAGGAGCCUUUCGUCGCCAAAAAUAUAUGUAGCAGCUAUCGUGCAAAGUUUGUCAUAUCAGACUGGCAGCAAAAACGCAGCAGAAAUCGAGCACAGUGUGUCGUCACGACGUGACGAUAAAAUUGCGACAGAUAUAUGGCGCGACCUACUUUAUCAGCUGUGUCGGCAGAAACGCAGCAGAAAUCGAGUACAGUGUACCGUCACGAUGUAACGGCAAAAACGCAGCAGAAAUCGAAUAGAGUAGUAACAUAACUUGUUGACAAAUUAACAACAGAAAUCGAGCAAAUUCUGUUUCAUACUACACUUUGUUAACUAUCUUGUUGGGCAAUUACGUCUUGCAUCAAGCGCAUAAAAAUACGUAAAUAAUAAAUGCAUGUUUAAAUGUUGAAUAUGAUUUCGCUUAUAUAGAAAAUUUGAUAAAUUUUGCAUGCGAGAAACAGAUAUCCCGAGAUGAAACAUCUUUCCAAAAUACUAUAAUAAAGUUACGUUUUAUUGAGUAUUUUUCGAGUUAUGUAGCUUGAAAGUUACAGUACCGCCGGCGUUAUCCAUGUACGCAUGCGCCUUAGUUGGCCAGAUCAAUUAUUACGUUUACACGGCGAUGUUAAACCGAUUUAGUAACAACCGUAGUUAGUGAUUUUUUGUAUUUAAUUGGAUCACAAUUUUAGAUUUAAAAGAAUGUACCAAUCUAACGAGAUUUCACUAACUAUGAUUGUUACUAAGCCGGAUUUACGUCGCCGUGUAAACGUAGUAAAUGAUCGGUCUUAGUUGGUCGGAUCGGUUUUGUCUUAUAAUUUAACAA